rnacentral:lncRNA from 1 species
CAAACAGUUCUCUUGUUGCACAGGAAAAAUUGGAUUCAGAAGGUAAAAAUAACCCGGGAAGAAGAACCAAAAUUUUGCCUAAGUUUUUGUUCUUAUCCUCUUUAUUUGGAUACCAAUUAUUCAGGAUCUUGAGACUAAGGAGAGAGUUGUCAGAUUUUCAACCAGUUCCUGUUGGAUUUUUUUAUUUGGUCCCUAAAACAAUUUUCUAAAUCUUAUGGUACAAAAAUCCAUUACAUUAUAGCAAUUAUCUAUUUAAGUCCUUAACAGGAAAGAGAUAUUACAUAGCUUCAUCAAAAAGUUAUUUGAGCUAAGGACCUUGAGGUGAUAUCAGGAGGAAAAAAUCAUAUAAAUAAUAGGUUUUAUCUGAGCCUGGAAUAUUCUGUACAUUUUGUUGAUUUCAUGAUUUCAUAUGAUAUCUCAUGACCCUUACCUUUGCACUAAAAGAGUUAUAACUUGCUCUCAGGGAGAGGCUUUCUAGCCAUUGCUUCUCAAUAGAUGGUGGCAGAGAAAAGCAGAUGUCCCAGAAGAAACAAAACAGCUGAAACCAACAUAAGAUAUCAAAGAACUGCUUGACAAGUAUGAGACCAAGAAAGCCACCCAGAAAAAAGGAUGCAAGGAUAAUGGACAUGUGACAUCAGCAGAGUGAGAUGAGGAAACUGAGGUUGAGAAAUGUUAACUAUCCAGAAGUACAUGUCAAGAUUAGAACUCCAAUACUCUUUGAAUUGCAUCAAUGAACUGCCUCUUAAUAAGGGAAGCAUGAAAUGGUUGACCCGGUCAUGGACUUCUGCCUUUUGAACUCCAUUUUCCAAAGCAAGGAUCUCAGAAGUUUGGCAGCCCUUCCUUUGGGAAUAGAGAACAAGACAGCUCCCAUUGAGGAAAUACCUCCUACUACGUGG